UGGGGAAUUUUGCGCAAUGGGCGAAAGCCUGACGCAGCAACGCCGCGUGAGUGAUGAAGGCUUUCGGGUCGUAAAGCUCUGUCAGGGGGAAAGAAGUGUAUUGUGGUUAAUACCCACGAUACUUGACGGUACCUCGGAA
rnacentral:rRNA from 1 species